GACGAACGCUGGCGGCGUGCCUAAUACAUGCAAGUGGGACGCAAGGGAACACACUGUGCUUGCACACCGUGUUUUCUUGAGUCGCGAACGGGUGAGUAACGCGUAGGUAACCUGCCUAUUAGCGGGGGAUAACUAUUGGAAACGAUAGCUAAUACCGCAUAAUAUUAAUUAUUGCAUGAUAAUUGAUUGAAAGAUGCAAGCGCAUCACUAGUAGAUGGACCUGCGUUGUAUUAGCUAGUUGGUAAGGUAAGAGCUUACCAAGGCGACGAUACAUAGCCGACCUGAGAGGGUGAUCGGCCACACUGGGACUGAGACACGGCCCAGACUCCUACGGGAGGCAGCAGUAGGGAAUCUUCGGCAAUGGACGAAAGUCUGACCGAGCAACGCCGCGUGAGUGAAGAAGGUUUUCGGAUCGUAAAGCUCUGUUGUAAGUCAAGAACGUGUGUGAGAGUGGAAAGU
rnacentral:rRNA from 1 species